rnacentral:rRNA from 1 species
CGUACAGUCAGUGAAUCAUCGAAUCUUUGAACGCACCUUGCACGCGGAGAGUCCAUUUCCGCGUAUACCUGUUUGAGUAACAUAACAUCGACACACUUUUCGGCUGCCUCGGCGGACGAGAGAGCUGGGCCGUCCGGCUUCGGCCGGUGGCUCGAAAUGCAGCGAGGAGACACAGAGCUGUGCCAAGUGAGGAGAUUGCAUCCGUGCAAGCAAUCACGCGGCUGCUCGUUGGCUCCGGCGUGCUCCGGCACACACCAGUGCACCGUGUACCAUGUACAUACAUGGCAUAUGGUGCACGCAACAGUGUUCUCAAAUCAGGCAAGACCACCCGCUGAACUUAAGCAUAUCAAUAAGCGGAGG